rnacentral:rRNA from 1 species
UUAUAAUUUAUUUAUUAUUUUAUAUUUUAUUUAAUUUAAAUUGUUAAAAAUAAUUAUAUGUUUAAUUGUUUUAGUAUUUAUUAAAGAAAAAAUAAUUUUAAUUAUAGUAUAAUAGUAUUGUGAAAGAAAAUUGAAAUAUAUUGAAAAAUUUUUAUUUUAAAAGAAAAUUUAAUUUAUUGUACCUUGUGUAUCAGGGUUUAUUAAAUAAAUAUUAUUAAAAUUAAUUUUCUCGAUUUUAAAAGAGUUAAUAUAUUAUAAAAUUUGAUGUAAUAAAAUUAUUUUUAAUAAUAUAUUAGAAAUGAAAAGUUAUUCGGUUUUAAAUUUAUCUAGUUCUUUAAGAAAUAAAUUUAAUUUAAAAAUUUUAUAUUAUUUAAUUUAAUAUACAAAUUAAAUAAUUGUUUAAUUUUAAUAUUUUAUGGGAUAAGCUAUAAAAUAAAUUUUUAAAAAUUACUAAUAAAUUAAUAAAUAUAAGCUUAGAAAUAGUUAUUAAUAAUAAAAAUGUUAUAAUUUAUAUUUUAUAAAUUAUUAUUUAUUUAGUUUUAAGUUUUUAUUAAAGUAUUUAUUUAAAUUAUAAAAGUAAAAAAAUUAUGAUUAGAUUAGUAUAUAUAUAAUGUAUUAAUAAAUAUUAAUGGUAAGUUUUUAUAAAGAACUCGGCAAAUAAAUAUUCGCCUGUUUAACAAAAACAUGUCUUUUUGAUUAACUAAAAAGUCUAGCCUGCCCACUGAAUUUUUAAAUGGCCGCAGUAUUUUAACUGUGCAAAGGUAGCAUAAUCAUUAGUCUUUUAAUUGAAGGCUGGAAUGAAUGGUUGGACGAGAUAUUAACUGUUUCAUGAAAAUUUUUAUAAGAAUUUUAUUUUUUAGUUAAAAAGCUAGAAUAAAUUUAAAAGACGAGAAGACCCUAUAAAUCUUUAUAUUUAAAUUGUUAUUAUUAUUUAUAUAAAUUUUAUAAUAAUAAUUAGUAAUAUUAUAUUGGGGUGAUAUUAAAAUUUAUUAAACUUUUAAUUAUUAUAUCAUUAAUAUAUGAAUAAUUGAUCUUUUAUUAAUGAUUAAAAAACUAAGUUACUUUAGGGAUAACAGCGUAAUUUUUUUGGAGAGUUCUUAUUAAUAAAAAAGAUUGCGACCUCGAUGUUGGAUUAAGAUAUAUGUUUAGGUGCAGUAGCUUAAAUUUAAAGUCUGUUCGACUUUUUAAUUCUUACAUGAUCUGAGUUCAAACCGGUGUGAGCCAGGUUGGUUUCUAUCUUUAAAAAAUAAAAGUAUUUCAGUACGAAAGGAUCUAAUAUUUAAUAAAUUAUUAUUUUUAUAUUGAAUAUUAUUAAUA